GACGAACGCUGGCGGCGUGCUUAACACAUGCAAGUCGAACGGAAAGGCCCUGCUUUUGUGGGGUGCUCGAGUGGCGAACGGGUGAGUAACACGUGAGUAACCUGCCCUUGACUUUGGGAUAACUUCAGGAAACUGGGGCUAAUACCGGAUAGGAGCUCCUGCUGCAUGGUGGGGGUUGGAAAGUUUCGGCGGUUGGGGAUGGACUCGCGGCGUAUCAGCUUGUUGGUGGGGUAGUGGCUUACCAAGGCUAUGACGGGUAGCCGGGCUGGGAGGGUCAGCGGCCACAUUAGACCUGGGAUACGGCCCGGCCUCCAACGGGAGGCAGCGGAGGGGAAGGUUACACAGUGGGCGGAGGCCUGGUGUGGCACAGCCGCGUGCGGGAUGACAGCCAGCGGGUAGUAAACCGCAGUCGCCUGUGACGGGGCGUGAAUGACGGUACUGGGUAAAGAAGCACCGGCUAACUACGUG
rnacentral:rRNA from 1 species